CACAGGUCAUUUAUAUUUAAGGUGCAUACAGUUAUUUUUAUUUUGCUUUUAUUUAAAUUGUUCAGUGGAUCAGAAAUCACUUUUGCCUGGUUAGCCUAAAUUGGCCAGAAAGAUAUUUGUAUUCCUACUUAUUGACAAAUCUUACCAUCUUAAGUAAGAUAAAUGAGCUAGCUAAUAAAAGUCAUCUCCUUCUCUCCCUAACAUCAAUAACUGAUAAAAUAGAUUGGAGAGGAGAGACCAUGGAGAAACUAGCCUUGCCCAAAUUGACAAGAGUUUGGAAAGGAAUAAACACUUAUUUCUAGGUAGUUGAGCCACUGUCCAAGCUUGGGCUUCUCAAGUAUACAACUUGCUCAUUCGCAUGAUAAUUUCAAUUGCCUUCCUCUUGACUUUCUCCGAAUAAAAAGCAAAGCAACUUAAUGGGCACUCAGCAGUGUGCAAAUCUUAGUUCAAGAGGGCCAAGUAAUUAGUACCAUAUAUAGGAGGAAACCACCAAGGUCAUAGUAUUCUUCUACAUUGGCACUAGCGAUUGGGAAUUAUUAGUGGAAAUUGUACUAUAUUAAUGGUGUGAUAAGAGCUAUUAUAGUAUUUUCCACCAUGUCCAAUAAACAGGCCUAUUUCCAUUACUGGUGCCUGACUCCAAGUGUGCUUAAUUUGGAUGCAUCAUGGCAAGGCAAAGGAGACUUGAACUGGGCUGAAUUUUUAGAUUGAUAGUCAUUUUGUGACAUAAUGGCAAUAUGACAAUGUCAGCAGGAUAGGGUAAGGUUUUUAUAAGAAUAAAACUAGAAGGUAGUAAUUAUUUUAUCUGUGGGGUUUUAGCUAUAUUUCAUGCCCCAUUUCUGAUCCUCUUAGCUUCAAAGAUCUGUGGAUCAGCUGCUGGGAUGGGCACUGAGGAACUUGCUGCAGGUGAGACCUAACACUGUCUCAUCUCAGGACCUAUAGCUCUCACGUAUGCCUCAGGGCUUCCCUGUUUACUAAGCAGGUGCACUGCAGGGUUCUGAGAGGCAGCAAUGCUGGUGUAGUAAAAACUUUGUUUAGUAGCAAAUUAUUUUCCUUUCCUUUUCCUCAUUCUCUUUGUGCUCAAAGAAUGGUCCUAAGAUGAAGUCUACGCAAAUGGUUUCUCAAUUCAAUCAAUUUAAUUUAUUGGCAGCCACCUGAAAACACAUUUUCUUAAUCACUCCCCCUCCAUGCCUGUUUCACUCUCUAUCUCUGGUCCCUAGUACUGCAGCCCCUAAUUACACAUUCACACUUAAAGCUGUUUCUAAUGUUCUAUUUUCUGGGGAACAUUGGCCAAGACACAUAAUAACAUUAUUACUUAAUUAAGAGGCCCAUGUGAAGUAUAAUAAAAUAUGAGAUAAGCAUUUCCAGUUGACUAUGGAUAUUAAACAUUAUAUUUAGUUUACUGCAAUGAAAUUUGUUUCCUUCACUUUUCAAAUUUAAUUUCCACUUUCUCUUUCCACUGGUACAUACUCAAGGGGGUUCUGGUUGCCUGCCUUUUAACAGGUGUGUACUGGGGAAUCUGUGCCCAAUAAGUACUUGUUAAUUACUUUUGAGUUGCUUUAAUGGAAACUUAAGCAAUACAUAAUAUGGAGGUGAAACUGAGUUUUACAUCCCCUUAGAAUUACAUAACAGACUACAAACUAUUUUAUAAUAUCUCUGGGUCUUUAAAAUAGUCAUCUGAGAUAAGCAGGAAAGCAGGUUUAUUUAUCUUUUAUAGGACUAUAUGUAAUUGGGGUUCAGGGAGAUAAAGAGUCUUAUCUUCCGUCACAGGGUAAUUGUCAGAAUUAGAGUUAUGGGCUUCCUAAAAUUUUUUCUUUCCCAUGUGAACUCUUUUACUCAGGUGUUUACAAUCACUGGGUCUUGUAAGUGAACAUUUUGAAUGCAUUGAUGGCCAGCAUUUCUGAUAGACUGAUUUUUCAAUUGCUGUUAAUUGUUUAAAAAGUUUCCUAGUUUAUUGAUGUAAUAGAAAAUAUAUAAUAUGUAACAAUGUGUACUUGAAAUGAAUGGAUCAAUUCUAUAAAAGAAGCAAGUUGCAUUUCACCUAGACUUUUAUCUUUACACAUCCUAUGCCUUUUUUUUUUUGCUCUUAUUAUUAUGCUACUGUUAUUCUCAGUAAUUUUUAUAAUUAAUUAAUUGGGAGAUAGUUGAUGAACAAUAUUAUAUAAGUUACAGGCGUACAACAUAGUGAUUCAUAAGUUUUAAAGUUAUACUCCAUUUACAGUUAUUAUAAAAUAUUGGCUAUAUUCCUUGUGUGGUGCAAUAUAUCUUAUAGCUUAUUCUGUACAUAAUAGUUUGUACCUCUUAAUCAACUACUCCUACCUUGCCCCUCCUUCAUUCCUCUCCUCGUUGGUAACCACUAGUUUGUUCUCUAUGCUCCAUGCCUUUUUAUAAAUGCUUAUUGUUCUAAGUAUUCAUUUGUUUAUUUAAAAAAUACAUUUUCAGGAGUUCCAUUAUGGCUCAUUGGUAAGGAACCCAGCUAGUAUCCAUGAGGAUGCAGAUUCCAUCCCUGGUCUUGAUCAGUGGUUAAGGAGCUGUGGUAUAGGUUGCAGAUGCAGGUCAGAUCUGGCAUGGUGUAGAUGGGUAGCUGCAGCUCUGAUUCCACCUCUAGCCUGGGAACUUCCAUAUGCCUCACCUGGGGUCCUAAAAAGAAAAAAAAAAAAGCAUCGUUCAAAGAUCUUUGCUUCUUUCCUCCAACCCUUACACAUCCUCAUUAAAGAUUUCACUGGAACAAACUGUGAGAUUUGCUGUUUCUGCAAAUAAAAGGUUCUGUUCUAUUUAUUGAGCAUAGCCCUAUACUUUUAUAGGGGAAUUUAUAUUUGUAGUUCUAAUACAUACUAAUGAGAUAUGUAAACAUAAAUAAAUAUGUAAAAACAAAUACAUUGUAUUUAAAGACUGUAAUAUGCAUAAGGUGUUAUAAAUAACUAUACAAUACUAUUUUUUUGGAAUUUGGACUAAUUUUUGUCCUGUAAAAAUUAAAUAGAAUUUUAAAAUAUAAAAUAAUUUAAAAGAUUUUUGAUAAUUGGGUUAGAUGAAGAUACAGUAUUACUUUACUAUAGUAUGCAUCACACUUUUCUUUUUGAUAGGUAGUGUCUGUUUUUUCACCAUGACAUUUUUUAAAUGGUGGUUGAGGCAUCAAUUGCAUAAUAAUUAGCUACUGCUCUUAGGUAUCAACAAAUCCUACUUCAGUACUUUCUGUAUGUACAAUAAAUGGGAAACUGAAAUAUUUUUUCUGUGUGUCAACAUUCUCACUCCUCGUACUUCAUUAAAUCAAGAUGAUAUAAAUCCCCGAAGACUGAAGUACAAAUUUUAGAGCGGUAUUGAUUUAACCUUCCCUUUGUAAAUAUUUCAUAGUUCUAUAAUGUGCAAAUGCAGUCACACAUAGAACAAAGAAUAGCAGUUUUCUGUUAGAAUGCAGAGGGAGUAACUGACAGCUUUUAUUACACCAUUUAGAAAAUAAUACAUAUGAAAAUGUGGAAGGAUAUUUCGUCAUUAUUAUGGAUGUCAAGAAUUGAUGAAACAUUGUUUAUAAAGGAAGAAAUUUGUAGAGCAUACUUAAAUGUACCAUUUUUCAAAUGUAAAUCCAUUUACCUUUUAUAACUUAAAUUUUUUUUCUCAUUACCUUUUCAAGUAAUUUAUUGGCUCUUUCAUAUAAGGGCCUUUUUUUUUUUUUUUUUUUGGUCAGCCUUUUGUCUCUCCCUCAUUGACAAUUAGAAGAAAUUUAGAAUUUAAAUAUGUAGUGUUAUGGAAACUUUCAUAUCAGCACACUAUGAAGUCAUGGGGAUAUAAAAAUAAAUAUAUUUCAUUGAAGGGUCCAUUAAGGAAGAAGUAACCUUUCUCAUCUAAGGGUUGGGAGUGAGAUUGUAAAGAUGAAAAAUGUUUUAAGACUGUUUAAUGUUUUCUCUUUUAAGCUUUAUAUAAAAAUAAAUCCAUAGUCAACCCAGAAGAUUUUUGUGAAUGAUGUUAUAUCAAGACAUAAUAAAAUUAGUUUUCUGCUGCCAUAGAAGUGAUAUCAAAAAGAGGAUGAUUAUUUGUUAUUUCAAUACUAACUUUGUUAAGAAGGCAGAGGAAAAGGAUCUGAUGGUGAAUUAGAGACUAGUAUCAUGAGCUAACAGUGUGACCUACUUUCAUUAAACAAAAAAGCUUGGUUAUUACAAUUAAACACACACAUACACACACACAUAAAUACUGUAGGAAAAGAGUAUUGCAUGCUUAUAAACUAGCAACUUUGAAACAAAAAUUCAAUCUACACUAAGAAAACUGCAUUAAAAUGCUAGAAAUACAACAAUGAAGUUCACCUGCAAAGAGUUUUUACAAAUAGGGGCCAGGGCCUUUCACUAGAGGGCAAACUUUAAUCAGUACUGAUAGACUUCUGCUGACUUAAAAAAUUUCCCACGAAAACAAUAAUACAGAUAUAAAUGUCCCACGAAAACAACAAUACAGAAAAUAAUACAGUUAAUAACUGUAUUAACAAUAAUAUAGAUAUAUAUAUCUUCCAUAUAUAUAUGAAAGGCUAAUUAUAUUCAAUUUCUUGGGCCUAUUUUUAAAUUUAACACCAAAUGGCUAGGCUAGUUUUUAUUACUGUAUCAGUGGGUGUAUUAUGUGUAGUGUACGUGUAGGCAUUCACAUAUAUGUGUAAGUGUGUGAUGUUGCACCUUGUGAACUCACUUUAAGUUAGUUUUAUUUUCUUGGAGAAAGUUUGAGCUUAAACAUUUCUGAUUUUUCUCUCACAGCAUUUUCUACAUAGAUUUCCCAUCACACAUUAAAGUAGCGCACAAGGAAAGUAGGCUAUUCUCCUGCUUCCAAACCUGGCCUUUUGUCAUUAAAUAUGUGCAAAAGAAAUCUUGUUAUGUGUGAAUCUUAGCCGAUUUGUGAUGUCAGAGGCUACUUUUCUUAAAAUUUUCAAUUCUUUUCCACAUACAUAUAUUUCCAUGUGAAACCCUCUCUACAUAUUCUCCAAACCUAUUGUAAUCUGAAAUAUAGUUAUGUAUAUCUUUCCACAAGUAUUUAUUGAUCACUUGUAGUAUGUUAGAUAUACCCCUUCAAGGUAAGACUUGCGGGAAGAAAGACCUGCAUCUUGAGACCAUCUGCUUUGCUCAUUUGUUCCCUUCCUAAAUUUUAAAAUGUUCAGGCAUGAUGCAGUCCCUUCUUUGAAGACGUAAACUACUUUACCUGGGGGGAUGACAAAUAAAUACUUCAUUGAAUUAUCCAUCAAAGAAGAAGUAAUCUUUCUCAUCUAAGAUUUGGGAUUUCUUUCUUUUCUUUCUUUAAUUUAGUUGAUUACUGCGCCCCUCCCCUCCUCUCCUGGUGCCCCGCCUUCAGGAAGCCUUGAGUCUGGGUUUCGCGGCUGGUCCAGCGCCCACUCUCCUCAGGGCCAGUUCCAGAGUCAAGGUACGUAAAGGGCCAUUUUAGGCUCAUGCAUAUCCCGCGGCUUUUAGGAAGAGCAGGCCUGAGCUGGUUUUUAGCCACAGUGUCUUUCGGUGGCUCCAGCAGAUCUAGAGCUAGGGCCUGGGGGCCCCUGCCUGGGAGUGCGCUGGGUUAAGAAGGGGUGGGGAGGACAGUGCCUGCCUGACCCUAGAACACCUAGGCUAAGUAUGGCGCCCCGGGCUGCCACAGCUGCUGGCACUAAAGGAGAGCUGCUACUAGGGGCGAAGGACGGAGUGACAUCUGCGGGAUAGAAAGACCCUCUGGCUUUUUUGAGCCUGGAUUAGGUGAGGAUGAUUUAGUUCCAAUUAUAGGCGGGGAAACAGGCUCAGAGAAGGGACUUGAGUAGCCUGGGGAGGGGGACUUUAUCAAAUAGGCCGACUUUCUGGGGCACAGCCGCCAGCCCUUCUUGGUGCCCCUACCCCCACCCCGGGUCAAGUUCUAGGGCAGAGCCCGCCUAGCACCCCUAGUUUCAACCUGUGGGACACUUAGCGGCAAACUUCUCAUGCUUGCUCCCUUCCCCCUCUAGUGGUUGGGAAUUGUUCCAGGCCCACAUUCCUCAGUGAACACAGAGGGAAGCUGGGUUUCAAGCGGGUACUGGCCUCCAGAACAUUAUCCACAACUUAGGGUCUCAAGACUCUGUCGUCCCUUUACAGUAAAGGGGGAGACCAGGCUGCCCCAGCCCAGGAGGCUUCUCCAGGGAUUGACCCCUCUAGGGAUGGCUCCGUAGACAGAUCCCCCUGGAAAGCAUGGGGAAGACAAAGCAAGCAAAGGGAACAGAACAUACACACCACAUCUGUUUAUUUAUUUCAUUUAUUCACCACUUGAAUGUAAACAAAUAAAUGGGGAGUUCCCGUCACGGCUCAGUGGUUAACGAAUCCGACUAGGAACCAUGAGUUGCGGAUUCGGUCCCUGCCCUUGCUCAGUGGGUUAACGAUCCGGCGUUGCCGUGAGCUGUGGUGUAGGUUGCAAGACACUCUGGGAUCUCGCGUUGCUGUGGCUCUGGCGUAGGCCGGUAGCUACAGCUCUGAUUCGACCCCUAGCCUGGGAACCUCUAUAUGCCGCAGGAGCGGCCCAAGAAAU
rnacentral:lncRNA from 1 species